UACGUAGGGUGCGAGCGUUGUCCGGAAUUAUUGGGCGUAAAGGGCUCGUAGGCGGUCUGUUGCGUCGGGAGUGAAAACUCAGGGCUUAACCCUGAGCCUGCUUCCGAUACGGGCAGACUAGAGGUAUGCAGGGGAGAACGGAAUUCCUGGUGUAGCGGUGAAAUGCGCAGAUAUCAGGAGGAACACCGGUGGCGAAGGCGGAUCUCUGGGCCUUACCUGACGCUGAGGCGCGAAAGCUAGGGGAGCAAACAGG
rnacentral:rRNA from 1 species